GACCCAUUGGCGCAUAAGGCAGCGCGUCCACUCGAAAUACAGCAGCUGUCAAAAAUUCUGUAUGUGGGAGGCCCCAGUUCGAAUCUGGGAUGGGUUU